rnacentral:lncRNA from 1 species
CUCACAUCUCUGCAUUAAACGAAGAUACAUCACAAAAUAUGGUAGAAAUGGAGACUUUGCAGAAAGACCAAGUUGAAGUUGUUGUUAGCCAAGACGCAGCAUGGUCAAAACGUGGCCGCGGAAUGAACAGUUUAUCAGGUUGGGGACAUGUUAUAGGAGUGAAGACUAAAAAGUGUUUGAACUAUUCUACACGA